AGGCUGUUAUGCGGACAAUCUCUUAGUAACCUCUUAAACCUCGCCCAAGCAUCACAGAGUGAUCGUUAUUAUCCUGUUCAAAAUUGGUGAUCAACUUUCUUCUUCU